rnacentral:rRNA from 1 species
CCUACGGGAGGCAGCAGUGAGGAAUAUUGGUCAAUGGCCGCAGGGCUGAACCAGCCAAGUCGCGUGAGGGAUGACGGUCCUAUGGAUUGUAAACCUCUUUUGUCAGGGAGCAAAGGGCGCCACGUGUGGCGCUUUGCGAGUACCUGAAGAACAAGCAUCGGCUAACUCCGUGCCAGCAGCCGCGGUAAUACGGAGGAUGCGAGCGUUAUCCGGAUUUAUUGGGUUUAAAGGGUGCGCAGGCGGAAUGUCAAGUCAGCGGUAAAAUUUCGGGGCUCAACCCCGUCGUGCCGUUGAAACUGGCGUUCUUGAGUGAGCGAGAAGUCUGCGGAAUGCGUGGUGUAGCGGUGAAAUGCAUAGAUAUCACGCAGAACUCCGAUUGCGAAGGCAGCAUACCGGCGCUCAACUGACGCUCAUGCACGAAAGCGUGGGUAUCGAACAGGAUUAGAUACCCGGGUAGUC